rnacentral:rRNA from 1 species
UACGGGGGGAGCAAGCGUUGUUCGGAUUUACUGGGCGUAAAGGGCGCGUAGGCGGUCGUGACAAGUCACCUGUGAAAUCUCCGAGCUUAACUCGGAACGGUCAACUGAUACUGUCAUGCUAGAGUGCAGAAGGGGCAAUCGGAAUUCUUGGUGUAGCGGUGAAAUGCGUAGAUAUCAAGAGGAACACCUGAGGUGAAGACGGGUUGCUGGGCUGACACUGACGCUGAAGCACGAAAGCUAGGGUAGCAAACGGG